CGAUCUCGCCUGCGACUUCGCCUGUAAAGGAAUCCAGAACCUUAUUCAAAAGCUCCACCGCAACCCACCCACUACCGCUGCCACCAAAUAAAGUAUAUAUAAUCAGUCAUGAAUAAAAUGUAACUUUUCCUC